UACUAGAGUAGCACUCGCAUAUCAAUAAGCGGAGGAAAAGGAACUAACAAGGAUUCCCCUAGUAACGGCGAGUGAAGCGGGAAGAGCUCAAAUUUGAAGAUCUUAAAGGGUUUCCCUUUACGAAUUGUAGUUUAAAGGAAGUGUUUUCUGUUGAGGUUUUGGUAAAAGUUCUUUGGAAUAGGACAUCAUAGAGGGUGAGAAUCCCGUAUUUGACCUUUACUUUCAACUUUGUGAUACACUUUCAAAGAGUCGGAUUGUUUGGGAAUGCAGUCCAAAAUGGGUGGUAAAUUUCAUCUAAAGCUAAAUAUUGGCGAGAGACCGAUAGCGAACAAGUACCGUGAGGGAAAGAUGAAAAGAACUUUGAAAAGAGAGUUAAACAGUACGUGAAAUUGUCAAAAGGGAAGCGUUUGACACCAGUGUUGUUUUUCUGAAAAUCAAUUAAAGAACUGUUUAUGCUAAGCUGUUUAGACUUUAUCAGCUAUCUGUUUAGUUUUAGGCUUUUCUUUAAUGCACUUUUCAGUUAACAAGUCAACAUCAAUUUCUUUUGCUGUAAAAAAGCUUGAGGAAGGUGGCUUGAGAUUCGUCUUAAGUGUUUAUAGCCUCUUGCCUAUGCAGUCGGAGAGAUUGAGGUCUGCAGCGUAGAUCCUUCGGGGCUAAAUGCAUUUGUGCUAAGUUAUAGCAUUUUAUAGACAACUUGUUGACUAUGAUUUGUCUUGUAGCUUACUCGCUUAUGUUAUUUUACCUACGCUUAGGAUGUUGAGCGCAUGUCUCUCUCU
rnacentral:rRNA from 1 species